rnacentral:lncRNA from 1 species
AAAGAAGUUUGUUGCACUGCCAAAUAAAUGGUGGAGGAACCAAAAAACAAAACCCAGCCGCCUGGCUGUUGGGUUUUCAAAAGAGAGAUUUAAUGGGUGGGAACACAACACAGCAUACUAACAGACCCUAAUUAAUGAAAAGGUUUUGGAAGACUAAAUAAUAUUAAGUUUUAACUGCUUGGAUUUUUUUAGAAAAAAAAAAAAAAAUAACAUAAUCAGGAAAUGUGAGAGAAUAC